rnacentral:rRNA from 1 species
UACGGGGGGGAGCAAGCGUUGUUCGGAUUUACUGGGCGUAAAGGGCUCGUAGGCGGCCAACUAAGUCCGACGUGAAAUCCCCAGGCUUAACCUGGGAACUGCGUCGGAUACUGGAUGGCUUGAAUCCGGGAGAGGGAUGCGGAAUUCCAGGUGUAGCGGUGAAAUGCGUAGAUAUCUGGAGGAACACCGGUGGCGAAGGCGGCAUCCUGGACCGGCAUUGACGCUGAGGAGCGAAAGCCAGGGGAGCAAACGGG